UCUGGUAUUAAAAACAAUGUUAUUGUCAAUUGAUUGAAUUAUUAUUUUUGUUUAAAAGGAAUCGAUCACUUUGGGGUUUUACAUCUUAAAUUCCAAAGUAGGGAAGAAAGUCUCGAAAAUAAUGGACGUCAAACUGAGCCCUAGGCAUAUUUAGCAAACGAUAAAGAGGAAAUUACUACUCAAAAGCAUUUGAAUAAGUUAUCAACACAGCUGUAAGUCGGUUUGAUAAAAAAUCAAUUGGUUUGAAAGUAUAUGUAAAAUUUUAACUCUCUUUUGAUGUACAAAAAUUCAGUUUUGAAGGUGAAGUUUCUGAGCUCCAUUGAUGUUUCCCACUGUCAAUAUAAAUUACUACUCCCUUUUUCUUUCAGGGACAGAACUAUCUGAAUUUUUUUUAUUUAUCAGCUAAGAGUUUCUAUUUUUUAUGUCUAGGUUUAUUGUGUUGGCUAAGAUGUUUCACUUGUGGGUUUCGAUUUUCUUAUCUAUUGAUGUUUUUUGUAUUGAUUUCGGUUUUCCUAGAUUAUAGUAGUAUUACGCAGCAGAUGGUUCUUCAUGGUGGCCAAUAGCCAUUAUUUAAUUAUGUGAUUUCUGUUUUUUCCUAAGAUUGAUAAGCUAAUUUUGGCUGAGAUCGGUCAUGACCAGGUAGGUUAUGUUGUCCUCAUUUAGUAUUCACUAAUUUAUCUUUUCUGACAUUUUUUUAAAAAGUAUGUUACUGCUGCUGUUCCUUGACUAGUUUAUGAAAACUGUGCAUCUUAAAUUGAUAAGUCUUGGAAGCUUCUUCAGUAGUGUAAAAUAUUUGAAAAAGAUUGGAAGUACAUUUAUUUGUACUAGGCUUACUCCCAUUGCCAUUGAGAAGUACCCCUGACAAUACUAUUAAAAUCAUGAAUUUUCUUGCUAGUUUUUCUAUUAUACACUAUGAUUAAUGAUGGUGAGGAGUUUCAUUACUCUGAGGGUUGAGUCGAUUAAAAUGUGGAUAUGAUGGAUGCGUUUGAUGUUAAAUUUAUUUCAAGUGAGGUGAUUUUACUUUUUGGUAUGACUUAAAAUCUAGUAUCAAGAUAUGAUAGAUUUUGCUCCUAUUUUUUUUUUGGUGAGGCAAGAUACUCAAGGUAUGAGCUUUUUCGAUAAGAAGUACUUUUAUUGUUAUCAUUUAUUAAGUUCAGACUUUAUUUCCUUUUAGCCACAUGUAAAAUUCUAAAUUUGUUUACCAAAAGUACACUUCAAAAUUAUUAUGUAGUUUUAUAUUUCAUGAAGUUUUAAGAAUUCUAUGUAAUUUCCUUUGUGUUUUCUUACAUAGAAGCAUUGACAUAAAGGUGAUUUUAGCUAUUGGAGAUUACAUUAACAUACAGGCACAUGCAUGCAUUGGAGGCAACAACGUGGGUGAAGAUAUUAGAAAGCUAGAGCAUGGAGUAUAAGUAGUCUCUGGAACUCCCAAAAGAGUCUGUGACAUGAUUAAAAGGAGAAAUUUACAACUAUGGCCAUAAAAUAAUUGAUUCUUGAUGAAUGUGACGAGAUGUUGACCCGCAGUUCUAAAGAUAAGAUAUCUUCCACCGGAGCUUCAGGAUGUUUUAACAUACUUGAGAAGAGAUUUUCUCAAUGGUUCCUCAACAACUUCCAUUGAGAUUGUAAGACCUCUUCGGACAACCAUAUUUUCAAAUGUUCAUAGCCGAAUCAGCACAAAGAGAAACAAAUAAAAUAGCAUCAGCUCGUUUUCCUGUACAAGAGGGAUUUCUGAUUUUGUGAAGAAAUUACACGGAAUGCAGACUUGCAUACUUGUGGAGUCCACAGUCUCAUCCUAGAUACUACAUACUAUGAUUCCAGGGAAUUAGAGCAUGAAUGAAGCAAGGAACUCAAAUAUAUGGAGAGCCGUGUGACUGAUGAAAACUUCUUGAACAAUUUUGAUUAAUUUUAUUUUGGUUUUGUGAAAUUAAUUACAAGUGUACAUAUUGUAAUGUUGAUUUUUAGUAAUUGUA